CGCCUGCCCUGGGCAGUGAAGGGCUUAGCACCUGGUCCAGCAGCUGCUGUGCUCGAGUUCUCGCGGGGCCUUAGCUGCCUCCCCGCGGGGCAGGGCUUGGGACCUGCAGCCCGCCAUGCCUGAGCUUCCCCCCGCCCCCGCCGUGGGCUCCUGUGCGGCCCGAGCCUCCCCGACGAGCGCCGCCCCCUGCUCCACGAUGCCCAGUCCCAUCGACCACCCAAGGGCUGAGGAGUGCGGGCUCACGGUUACAGGAUUCCCAUUUCAGAACUACGACCAUUUGAAAAAUAGAAGAUUUAAAGAUUGACGCAAAGUGCAUGUACCAUGAUACACCAGGUAAACUUAAGAUUUAAGUACUUCCCAUCAGCAGAAUUCCAGAAUUCCAGAAUAUUACUAUCAUAGUAGUGGUAGAGAUGAUGAUAGGGUGUAUCUAUGUAGGUUAACAAUUUUCUGCCUCUAGGAUAUAUGCUCUCAAUUGUCUUGGAAUGUAGUCUCUUAUUUGAUCUUAACAAAGUCUGAUGCUGUGGGAUGCUCCACCUGAAAUCUCAGUAACAAAGAUUAUGCUUCUGUUCUCAAAUUGCAUCUAGUAUUAAUGGGAUUCUUUGCCUUUUGAGGUUCAGAUACCCGUUGGACUAGCAAAAUGAACAUACACAUGCACUUGAUUGUACAAAAAAUAUUCAAAACAUCAGAGACUUCAUUAGUUUCAAGUAUUGGUUUUUCUAUGGGGUGCAUGUAAUUUCGGUUAAUAAAAGUGUACAAGCCGUCACCGGACUCAUCAUUUAUGCAUUACAAACAGUCACAAUGAUCAAAUGCUCUAAUGCUACUCUGAGAUAAUAAAGAGAAGGUAUUCUGAAACAGAGAAGAUUUAAUUCCAGGCCAUCUUUUAAAAAAAUAAUUAAACAGAAUUUACCAGGUUCAUUUAAACAAAAAUAACUAAUUACAAUAUGCAACUUGAAUAAUCAAACAAGUUAUCUAUGUGCCUGAAGCCAAGACUAUUCUGUAAAAUGAAAAUUUUAAAACUGGUGAAUUACCUAUUAAAAAUCAUUUCAAUCCUCACCAUUAUUUUAUUUUCCAAAUGGUCAAGGAUUAUAUUGAGGUUUUCUAAGCAAGAAAAAGGCACAGAGUUUGGCUCUGGCUUUAUUUACUGAUCAAUACAAUCAAGAGUGGAAAACAUACUUUGCAGUGUAGGUCAAUUGUCAAAGGCAUUUCAAUUGUUUAAAGACAGGAUAUAAGAAUUUAAGAGUUAUUUGUUUCUGUCAUCGGCAGGGUGUUAGUCAUGGCAAAAUCAUCUUCUGAUUCUCCUGUGGAUUAAAAAAAAGGAUCAGAGGCUUACAUGUUCAAUGGAUUAUUUUCCUUUUUGAGAAAACAAACUCUCCUCCAAAGCAAAUAGUUUCUCUGUGGAAGGAAAGAACAGAUAUAAUGCCUUCAGGGAUUUGUCAAGAGACUACUGGGUGGAAAAGAACUAAUCACAUUUUUCAAUAUAGUAGAACCUUAAAGUUACUUUGUCUUUUAUCAUCUAUACAUGAAGGGUCAUAUUUUAGUUUCCUAGGGCCACUAUAGCAAAUUACCAAAAGCUUUGUGGUUUAAGACAAUAGAAAUUCAUUAUCUCCCAGUUCAGGAGGUCAGAUGCCUCCUGAAAUAAGAAUGACUUUCUCCUGGUGGCUUUGAGGGAGAGUCUGUGCAUGCCUCUUUCCUAGUUUCUGGUAGUUUCCUGGAAUCUGUAGCAUUCCCUGGCUGAGACACGUUGCUACAAUUCCUGCCUCCAUCUUCACAUUCACUUGUUCUCUGUCUAUCUUUGUGUCUUCUUUUCUGUCCUUAUGAGGAAACUCAUUAGAUUUAGGGUCUGGCUAAAUCUUGGAUGAACUCUUCUUCAGAUCCUUCAUUUCAUCUGCAAACACUCUUAUUCUAAAUAAAAGGUUUCAGGUGACCAUAUAUGUUGAGAAGAUAUCAUUCAACUCACUAACUAUAUCACAUUUUCAUUUUAAAAUCCUAUAAAUAUUCUCAAUUCUAACUCUUGGUAUCUGAUAAGCAAGAGAACUGAAAAAUUAGUUGUUUUUUUUUUUGAGACAAGGUCUAUCUCUUUCGCCAAGAGUAGAGUGAAGUGGUGCAAUAUUGGCUCACUACAACUUCCACCUCCUGAACUCAAGCCAUCCUCAGCCUUCCGAGUAGCUGAGACUACAUGUGCAUGCCAGCAUGCCUGGCUAACUUUUGUGUAUUUAUUUAUUUAUUCUUUUAUUCUAGUAGAAACAAGAUUUAACCAUGUUGCCCAGGCUCAUCUCAAACUGCGGGGCUCGAGCGAUCUGCCCGCCUAAGCUUCCCAAAAUGCUGGGAUUACAGGCAUGAGCCACUGAGUCUAGAGGAAUGACAUGCUCAGUGAAGCCAGAGUUUAGGAGGCUGAUCCAAUGAUGCUGUCACAGUCUGCAUCUUGCGUAUGUUCUGUGUUCUUUUUAUUGUGUGGCAACUUAAAAUUACUUGUACCUUAUAUUAUGCCAGUUAAAGAAGUUGAACCUAUUAUUAAUAUCUUUCUCCAAAACAUUCCCACAAACAGAUUACCUUAUCAGUGAUUUUUUCCUAAUAGCUAUUGCCAAAAUAACAGCAACUUCACACAUAUUCUUCUAAAGUGAAGAAACAGGGAAAGUAUUUAAAAAGUAUUUUUGUGAAGCCAGCAGAACCAUGAUAACAAAAUCCAACAAGAACAUAGAGUAUAUGUAUACACAUCAAAACAAAUUACAUGAAACAUUUGUAAAUAAAAAUCCAGAAACAAAUAAGAUUAGUAUUAAAUUACAGAUGUCUGUUUUAUAAAUCACGAAUGCAAAGACAAUGUAGAAUUAAUGUUAAUCUUUCUGCAUGAUCACAUAAGAAAUUAAAUAUGUAUGACUGUCUUUAUAGAUGUAUUCAAAUAUUUGAUGAAAUUUAACAAAUAUUAACUUUUAAAAGCAAAGCAAAUUUUAAAAAAAUAAAAUGUCCUUUUUAAUGCAUCCAUACAGAAAACUAUCAUGAAUUAUCAUUACAAAUACACUGAUACCCACAUUCACUACUUCUGUUCAAUUUUGUGCCAGUGAUCUAAGAUAGCACAACACAAAAAAACCCAAAAAAUUCAAUGUAUAAUAUAUUCAGAAACAUCGUGAAGGUGUUUCCUCAUUCAAAAUAAUAUGAAUAAAAAUAAUCCAAAAGAUUCUCUGUGCUGUGGUUCAGCUCUGUGUUUCCACCCAAAACUCACCUUGAAUUGUAAUCCCCACAUUUCAAAGGCAGGACCAGGUGAGGUAACUGAAUCAAGAGGUCAGGUUCCCCUAUGCUGUUCUUGUGAUAAUGAGUGAGUUUCAUAAGAUCUGAUGGUUUUAUAAGCAUCUGGCAAUUCUCCUUUUUGCACUCAUUCUCUCGCCUACUGCCCUGUGAAGAGGUGCUUUCCCUCAUGAUUGUAAGCUUCCUUAGGCCUCCCUAGCCAUGUGGAACUGCGAGUCAGUUAAAACUCUUUUCUUUAUAAAUUACCCAGUCUCAGGUAUUUCUUUAUAGCAGCAAGAGAAUGGACUAGUACACUAAACAAAUAUUAGAAUUAAUCAAUUAAUACAAUAAUAUUGGAAAAGAUAAGAGCAAUGCAAAAUAAAUGAAUUGCAUUUGCAAAACUCAGAAAGUUAUAGAAAAUAAAAUGAUAAAUUUUACCAUUUACAAUCAUAUAAAAAUUAAUUACCUAUGAAUAUAUCUAACAAAAGAUAGGAACAAUUUAUAUGAUGAAAAACACAACAUACUCCUGAAAGAUAUUAAUACAUAAAUAGGUCUGUGAGGCCUGUACAUAAAUAUAGAUUUGAAGACAGCAUUUCUUCCAAAUAUGCUUAUAAAUGCAUGCAAUCCCACAACCACUUCAGAAAAUAUUUCCUCAGAGUUUGUUUUAAUGUGCAUACAUUGAUAAACUUUCUCUAAAAUUUAUAUGCAAAUAUAAAGGGCUCAAAAUAGCCCAGAUAAUCUUAAAGAGAUAUAACAAACCUGGAGAAAUUCCAUUACUAAAAAUCACAUCUUAUUUUAAUACACAAAUACCAUACUGCGUAAUCAAUGUGGGAAUAGAUAAACAGAUAAAGGCAUGAGAGGAAAAGAGAUUCCAGAACCCAGCAAGAAUGUCUCUGAAAGGAUUGCUGUGUGGCAUGUCUUCUUGUGUACAGCAGUUGAUCUCUUGCAGCACUCAAAUACAUUCUCAUAUACAUUUUCAGGGAAAAGCUUUCCCAGGACUCCUUCUUGCAUUUCUUUCUCUUCUGAGGGAAAACUAAGAGAAAAGAAACUAACUGAAGCAGUUAUUGUCAGGGCCACAAUUGACACCCAUUUUCUCCUCCUUCCAUUAACCAUUCUAUAUCUCUCUCAAUCAGCAAAUAGCUCUGCUUGACCUUAGUAGCUUACCUGGAGGUGAGACCUGCAUCCUUGAGGGGUUUGAGUUCCUGAUUUCCAUGCCCUUCUUAUACCAAAGUCUCUGUAUCUGUUUGUUUAAACCAUGGGUGGACAAAGAAAUAGUAGUGGGCUCAAAUGGAUCAUGUGGGUUACACUUGGAUUUCUCCUUGCCCUUUGGUGUAACAGAAGUCCACUGAAAAUUACAACUCAAUUUUCUAUUUUCUGAUUGUUGAUAAAACAAAACAAAAGAUCUCAAAAUGCCUAGGGAGCAACCAUAAUUUAUAGUUCAACUGACUUUCUUAUGUCCCCAGUAGAAAGGUGCCACAUUUGAGGAUAAGAAACUCUAACCCUGCAUAUCCCAGGGCUGCAGGGAUGGGAAGCAUAAAUUCCCCAACAGGUCAUUGAGAAUGGUGCUUAGAGGGACUCCUUCUGCUUUCAUCUCUUAGUUUUCUGACCAGGUAUUCUUUUUAUUGAUUAUAUAGCAUUAUAAAAAGUUACAUGAUUCAACAAACUCUCACUUCCAUCCCUUGAUUUGUUUCUUUUGAUCCAGUUCACCCUGGAGUAUGGCACACCAAAUUUUAAGAGUAUUCCUUCUCAGAUGGAACUUCUUCAUGCCUUUAGCAGGGUCUUUUAACUCUAUCCAAGCAGCCAUAUGGGAAAAGAACAAUGGAUUCUAAUUAUAGCUCUCUAAGUAAAUGGCCAUAUGUCCCUUUGGAGAAGCACUGAAUCAGUAUAUCACAUAUUUGCCAUAAUAUUUUGGAGUCCUUCUGCCUGGGAUUCAGUAAUUUUUAGUUAUGAGAUCAAUUUCUAAAGCCUGGUUCAUAUUGAGGAACUAGAAAAAUAAAGUUUGAGUUUUUUGGGGGAUGUUGACCUCAGCUAUUGUUAGCAUUAAUGAGAUUUAGCAAUAGUCAUCAAUCCUCUUAUUCUUAUAGAUAUUUUGCUUUUUCAUGCUUCAAGUGCUUCAAAUAUCACAUCAGCUAUUGCAUUCUUCCCCACUGGGAAACCCUCCCAGUUCACCAUGGCUGAAAGGUUUAAAAGCUGGCUUGGCACUUGUGCCAGGGGCAGUGUGCUCUGUCAGCAGUGAUGGGUUCUUCAUUGCAACCUGCGCAGUGAGUGAUGCAAUUCCCAAACCCCAUCUUAUUCCUUCCUUCCUGGGACCACUCCAGGAAGUGAGUCAGAGCUUGGAGUACAAGAUACUUUUUAAGAGUCAACAUCAGUAAGGGAAAAGGGAACAAAGCAAGCUGGAUUAGACAAACUGCAGGACCAAGAAAGCCUCUGUCACCCAGAGGGGAUCUCUGCAAUGAAAUUGCUCAUCAUCUUUGUACCACAUCAAACCAAAUUUUCAAACUUUUAGAGCUUUGGGCAAGGUGACUUUCUGCAUAGGAGGCUGGUCCUGAAGGAAUUGACACCUGGAGUCUGUUCAGUGACUGCAUUCUCUGAAGCUCUACAUAGAUGUCUUCCUUGAAGUGUGACCUAGGUGUGAUGUCUUCAUGUCUACCACACACCACCAAAAAAAGUAAUGCUAUAUUAGUAACAAUGUUUUUCAUAAUGUCCUAAAUCUGGGAACUACCUAAUGUAUCAAAUUGAAAUGCAUAAAUAUAAUGCAGAAUAUUGAUAUAAUGUUAUAGCAUUGAUAUUUGAUAGGGUUUGGCUGUGUCCCCACCCAAAUCUCAUCUUGAAUGCCCACAUGUUGUGGGACAGAACUUGUAGGAGGUAAUUGAAUCAUGAAGGCAGGUCUUUCCCAUGCUGUUCUCGUGAUAAUGAAUAAGUCUCACAAGAUCUGAUGGUUAUAUAAGAAGGAGUUUCCCUGAACAAGCUUUCUCUUUACCUGCUGCUAUCCAUGUAGAAUAAGACUUGCUCCUCCUUGCCUUCCACCAUAAUUGUGAGGCCUCCCAAUCCAUGUGGAACUGUAAGUCUAUUAAACCUCUUUCUUUAGUAAAUUACCCAGUCUUUGGUAUGUCUUUAUCAGCAGCGUGAGAACAGACUAAUACAGUAAAUUGGUACCAAUAGAGUGGGUCGCUGCUGAAAAGAUACCCAAAAAUGUGGAAGGGACUUCGGAACUGCAUAACAGGCAGAGAUUGGAACAGUUUGGAGGGCUCAGAAGAAGACAGGAAAAUGUGAGAAACUGUGGAACUCUCUAGAGACUUGUGAAAUGGCUUUCACCAAAAUGUCGAUAAUGAUAUUGGCAAUGAAAUCUAGGCUGAGCUUAUCUCAGAUGGAGAUGACGAACUUGUUGGGAACUGGAGCAAAGGUGACUCUUGUUAUGUUAUAGCAAUGAGACUGGCGGCAUUUUGCCCCUACACUAGAUAUUUCUGAAACUUUAAACUUGAGAGAGAUGAUUUAGGGUAUCUUCCAGAAGAAAUUUCUAAGCAGCAAAACAUUCAAGAGGUAACUUGGGUGCUGUUAAAGGCAUUCAGUUUUACAAGGGAGGCAGAGCAUAAAAUUUUGGAAAAUCUACAGCCUGAAGAUGUGCUAGAAAAGAAAAUCCCAUUUUCUGAGGAGAAAUUUCAAGCUGCCUGCAAAAAUUUGCUUAAGUAACAAAGAGCCAAAUGUUAAUCCCCAAGACAAUGGGGAAAAUGUUUCAAGGACAUGUCAGAGGACUUCAUGGCAGCCUCUCCCAUCACAGACUCAAAGGCCUAGGAGGAAAAAAUGGUUUCUUGGGCCAGGCCCAGGGUCUGUAUGCUGUGUGCAGCCUAGGGACCUGGUGCCCUGCAUCCCAGCUGCUACAGGCAUGGCUGAAAGAGGCCAAUAUAGAGCAUGGGCCGUCGCUUCAGAGAGUGCAAGCCCCAAGCCUUGGCAGCUUCCACAUGAUGUUGAGCCUGCGAGUGCAACGAAGUCAAGAAUUGGGGUUUGAGAACCUCCACCUAGAUUUCAGAAGAUGUAUGGAAAUGCCUGGAUGCCCUGGCAGAAAUUUUGCUGCAGGGGUGUGGCCCUAAUGGAGAACCCCUGCUAAGGCAGUGUGGAAGGGAAAUGUGGGGUUGGAGCCCUUCACACAGAAUCUCUACUGGGGCAUUUCCUAGUGGAACUGUGAGAAGAGGGCCACCAUCCUCCAGACCCCAGAAUAGUAGAUCCACUGAGAGCUUGCACCGUGCGCCUGGAAAAGCGCCAGCACUCAACACCAGCCCAUGAAAGCAGCCGAGAAGGAGACUGUACCUUACAAAGCUACAGGGGUGGAGCUGCCCAAGACCAUGGGAACUCAUCUCUUGCCUCAGCAUGACCUGGAUGUGAGACAUGGAGUCAAAGGAGACCAUUUUAGAGCUUUAAUAUUUGACUGCCCUGCUGGAUUUCAAACUUGCAUGGGGCCUGUAGCCCCACUCUUUUGACCAAUUUCUCCCAUUUGAAAUGGAUGUAUUUACACAAUGCCUGUAACCCCAUUGUAUCUAGGAAGCAACUAACUUGCUUUUGAUUUUACAGGCUCAUAGGCUGAAGGGACUUGCCUUGUCUCAAAUGAGACGUUGGACUGUGGACUUUUGAGUUAAUGCUGAAAUGAGAUAGGUCUUUGGGGUACUAUUGGGAAGGCAUAAUUGGUUUUGAAAUGUAAUGGCAUGAGAUUUGGGAGGGGGUGGGGUGGAAUGAUACGGUUUGUCUGUGUACCCACCCAAAUCUCAUCUUGAGUUCCCUCUCUUGUGGGAGGGACCUGGUGGGAGGUAAUUGAAUUAUGGGGUCAGAUCUUUUCUGUGCUGUUCUCAUGAAUAGUGAAUAAGUCUCACAAGAUUUGAUGGUUCUAUAAGGGGGAGUUUUCCUGCAUAAGCUCUCUCUCUACCAUCCAUGUAAGAAGUGAUUUUCUCCUCUUUGCCUUCCACCAUACUUGUGAGGCCUCCAGAGCCAUGUGGAACAAGUUCAUUAAGUGUCUUUCUUUUGUAAAUUGGCCAGUCUCAGGUAUGUUUUUAUCAGCAGCAUGAGAACAAACUAAUACAAGCCUAUAGAAGUAACAAUUAACAUAGAUACUCUAUACAAGAGCGUAGGUCCAUUUAACAAACAUAUUACUUAGGAAAAAGACAAAAUACUGUCUAUGAUGCCAUUCAUAUAAAAUUUAAAAACAACCAUAACAUGUCUAUGAUGCCACACAGUAAGGAAAGCAGGGCAUGUGGUAGCCACAUCUCCCUUUAAAAAAAUGUCUGGAGAGGCCUGCAGUCACUUUACCCUCAUCCAAGCUGCACCCUCUUAUUGGUCUCUUAAAUGGGGCAAUGAGAAUACAGGAAUAGCACAGAUUAAAGAUAGUAAGAGUGUCUGCAAUAUUCCAUACAGUCUUGUACUCCAUCUUAUUAAAACAAAACCACCCAUGUCCUCAGUUUUGUGACCCAUUAUGUUUCUUCUUUGGCUGAAACUAUUUUGAGUUGCUUCCCAGACACUUGUCUUAUAAAGGGCCUGCAAUGCACAGACUCUUAGAAACCAGUGCCCAGUUUAUAUCAUCAGUUUGACUUUUGGAGAAACUGGGGAAGGUAGAUAAAAUUAUAUAUAUAUACAAACACGCACACACACAUAUAUAUAUACACACACACAUAUAUAAUAACGCAUCUAUGAUGCAUAUAUAUAAUGCAUAUGCACAUGUAUGGUACAUAUAUGAGGCAUAUAUAUACAUCAUAUGUGUGUCAUACAUUUAUCAUUUAUAUAUGUAUCAUAUAUGUAUGUAAAUAUUUUAUUCCUUUUACUGUGUCAGAUGUCCAUUUGGGAAAAUAAUAAGAUUAAUGAGAAAAUAUGAAAUAAGCUUUUGGUAUAGUACUGUUCAAUGAAAUUUUAUGAAUGCCUGUCUUAUUUCAAAACAGUGCACUUAAUAAGAAUAAUCAAUCUCAUAUUACCUUCCAGUUUUAAUGUUAGUGAAUAAGACUGAUAAUUUAAUAAAUCUUAGGAUGAUGGUGUGUAUAUAGUCUCUAAGUAACAUGGUGAAGACCAGUUGGUUAAGCCUGGUGAUGCAGCAACUCAAUUGUAAGAACUAAACUGUAACAAUUGAACUUAAAUAAAAGACAAAUGAAUGAAAAAAAUUAUAUUUUAAUGCUCAAAAUUAUUCUUCAUUGUUGUUGGAGGUAUGAAUAACAGAAAAUGAAUUAUGUUAUUUCCUAAGCAUAUAAUGGGUAGAAAUAAGAAUGUCUUUUGAAAUUUUUUUUACCAGUUUAAAAAUAUGACAUUAAAAUUGCAUUUGUGCAGGAAAUAAUACAACGGGUAUGAAAGAAAGAAAAAGAAAAGUUUUUUGCUGUGAGGAAUAUAUUUUUUCUCCUAAGGAUAUGUCACUUUCACCCAAGUAAUCUGGUUGCCACAUUGCAAUAUUUCACCUGACAAUAAAAAAAUCAUUGUAUGUUAUUCUUCUUCUGUCCCUGGAGAAUAUGAACGUUAAUGAUAACAGCAUUGUGUCUACCUAAAUGAAAACAAAAACCUAAUUGUAAUAAUCCAGUACAUACAAGUGUGCCAUAAUGAAAAAUAAAGUAAAAUAUUUAUUCAG
rnacentral:lncRNA from 1 species